UACGGGGGGAGCAAGCGUUGUUCGGAUUUACUGGGCGUAAAGGGCGCGUAGGCGGUCAGCACAAGUCAGUUGUGAAAUCUCCGGGCUUAACUCGGAAAGGUCAACUGAUACUGUGCGACUAGAGUGCGGAAGGGGCAACUGGAAUUCUCGGUGUAGCGGUGAAAUGCGUAGAUAUCGAGAGGAACACCUGCGGCGAAGGCGACACCCUGGACCAGCACUGACACUGAGGCACGAAAGCGUGGGGAGCAAACAGG
rnacentral:rRNA from 1 species